rnacentral:rRNA from 1 species
UGCUCGAGUGGCGAACGGGUGAGUAACACGUGGGUGAUCUGCCCUGCACUUUGGGAUAAGCCUGGGAAACUGGGUCUAAUACCGAAUAGGACCGCRYGCUUCAUGGUGUGUGGUGGAAAGCUUUUGCGGUGUGGGAUGGGCCCGCGGCCUAUCAGCUUGUUGGUGGGGUAAUGGCCUACCAAGGCGACGACGGGUAGCCGGCCUGAGAGGGUGUCCGGCCACACUGGGACUGAGAUACGGCCCAGACUCCUACGGGAGGCAGCAGUGGGGAAUAUUGCACAAUGGGCGCAAGCCUGAUGCAGCGACGCCGCGUGGGGGAUGACGGCCUUCGGGUUGUAAACCUCUUUCAGUAUCGGCGAAGCUCCGGGAUUUUUCUUGGGGUGACGGUAGGUACAGAAGAAGCACCGGCCAACUACGUGCCAGCAGCCGCGGUAAUACGUAGGGUGCGAGCGUUGUCCGGAAUUACUGGGCGUAAAGAGCUCGUAGGUGGUUUGUCACGUUGUCCGUGAAAACUCACAGCUUAACUGUGGGCGUGCGGGCGAUACGGGCAGACUGGAGUACUGUAGGGGAGACUGGAAUUCCUGGUGUAGCGGUGGAAUGCGCAGAUAUCAGGAGGAACACCGGUGGCGAAGGCGGGUCUCUGGGCAGUAACUGACGCUGAGGAGCGAAAGCGUGGGGAGCGAACAGGAUUAGAUACCCUGGUAGUCCACGCCGUAAACGGUGGGUACUAGGUGUGGGUUUCCUUCCUUUAGGGAUCCGUGCCGUAGCUAACGCAUUAAGUACCCCGCCUGGGGAGUACGGCCGCAAGGCUAAAACUCAAAGGAAUUGACGGGGGCC